AUUGAACGCUGGCGGAAUGCUUUACACAUGCAAGUCGAACGGCAGCACGGGGCAACCUGGUGGCGAGUGGCGAACGGGUGAGUAAUACAUCGGAACGUGCCCAAUCGUGGGGGAUAACGUAGCGAAAGUUACGCUAAUACCGCAUACGAUCUACGGAUGAAAGCGGGGGAUCGCAAGACCUCGCGCGAAUGGAGCGGCCGAUGUCAGAUUAGGUAGUUGGUGGGGUAAAGGCUCACCAAGCCAACGAUCUGUAGCUGGUCUGAGAGGACGACCAGCCACACUGGAACUGAGACACGGUCCAGACUCCUACGGGAGGCAGCAAUGGGGAAUUUUGGACAAUGGGCGCAAGCCUGAUCCAGCCAUUCCGCGUGCAGGAUGAAGGCCUUCGGUUGUAAACUGCUUUUGUACGGAACGAAACGGUCUGCCCUAAUACGGCGGGCUAACUGACGGUACCGUAAGAUAAGCACCGGCUAACUACGUGCCAGCAGCCGACGGUAAAGUGU
rnacentral:rRNA from 1 species